UUGAUUUAUUCAAUAUUGACUCGGACGCAACGAUGCAGGGUUGUGUGGUCCGCCGGGGGCCCCGACGCCCGAAGGCCGGGUCGCCCCCGAGGCAACUGGGUCGGAUAACAUGGGGUUGGAGGUCGGGCCCGGAGACCCUUCACUCGGUAAUGAUCCCUCCGCAGGUUCACCUACGGAGA
rnacentral:misc_RNA from 1 species